rnacentral:tRNA from 1 species
GGUAGGGUAGCCGAGCGGCCAGGCGGUGGGUUGUAGCCCCGAUGACAGAGGUUUAAGUCCUCUCCCUAUCA